UUGACAGCCCUGAAUAAUGAAGACCUCUAUUUCUCCAUAAGACAAGUACAGUAGAGGCAACUGCACUGCAAGAUUCCCCACAUUCCUUGCCUGUGUGCCUGAAGUUAGGAUCUUUGGGAUGAGAGUGCGGUUCAUUCUCCAUGGAUCAUUUAGACCUCAGUCUUU
ensembl:misc_RNA